UCGUAACAAGGUCUCCGUUGGUGAACCAGCGGAGGGAUCAUUACCGAGUUUACAACUCCCAAACCCCUGUGAACAUACCUUAAUGUUGCCUCGGCGGAUCAGCCCGCGCCCCGUAAAACGGGACGGCCCGCCAGAGGACCCAAACUCUAAUGUUUCUUAUUGUAACUUCUGAGUAAAACAAACAAAUAAAUCAAAACUUUCAACAACGGAUCUCUUGGUUCUGGCAUCGAUGAAGAACGCAGCAAAAUGCGAUAAGUAAUGUGAAUUGCAGAAUUCAGUGAAUCAUCGAAUCUUUGAACGCACAUUGCGCCCGCUGGUAUUCCGGCGGGCAUGCCUGUUCGAGCGUCAUUUCAACCCUCAAGCCCCCGGGUUUGGUGUUGGGGAUCGGCUCUGCCUUCUGGCGGUGCCGCCCCCGAAAUACAUUGGCGGUCUCGCUGCAGCCUCCAUUGCGUAGUAGCUAACACCUCGCAACUGGAACGCGGCGCGGCCAUGCCGUAAAACCCCAACUUCUGAAUGUUGACCUCGGAUCAGGUAGGAAUACCCGCUGAACUUAAGCAUAUCAA
rnacentral:rRNA from 1 species